AGGUCAUCCUGAGGUUGUCUACAAAACCAGUGCUGGUCUCUGUUGGCCAUGAGCCUGCAAGGGUGGCUUGAGCUGUGUCCAAAUUGCUGGAAAGAACUGUGCUGCAAGAACAGGGAAGGGCAAAACCAGGCAGAAGACGAGAGAGAUUCCAAAACAUCGUCAUCCUGGAAGUACAGGUGAAUCUAAUGGGUAGGUAAGCAAGCAAUACAUAGCUUAAGAAAAGUUGAUA